rnacentral:rRNA from 1 species
CCUACGGGAGGCAGCAGUGAGGAAUAUUGGUCAAUGGACGAGAGUCUGAACCAGCCAAGUAGCGUGCAGGAUGACUGCCCUAUGGGUUGUAAACUGCUUUUAUCAGGGAAUAAAGUGAGGCACGUGUGCCUUUUUGUAUGUACCUGAUGAAUAAGGACCGGCUAAUUCCGUGCCAGCAGCCGCGGUAAU